rnacentral:lncRNA from 1 species
UAGCAACGCCGUUGUUUUUUUUAAUUCAUUUUUUUAUAUAUAUAUACAUAUAUUUAGAUUUGCACAUUUUUUUUCAUAACUAACUACCUUGAUUUUUCCUAAACCCUGACAAUUUCGCCACAAACUCUAAAUUUCAAACCUAAAACUUUAACCGUGUUGUUUCUUCUAAACCAUAAACCUUUUCUUAAACCUUAACAAACCUUAUUAUUAUUUCCUAAUUUCGCUCAUAUUUAUGUUAUUCAUACACUGUAACUGCUUCGCCCUUGUAAUAUUUUAAGUUUUAACUUGUAAUAUUUUCAGUUUUACUUUUCGCCAUCUUUAUUAUGUAAC